UUUUUUUUUUUGUUUUGUUUUGUUUUUUUUUUUUUUGCUUUUUAGGGCCACUCCUGCGGCAUAUGGAAGUUCCCAAGCUAGGGGCUGAAUUGGAGCUACAGCCACUGGCCUACACCACAGUCACAGCAACACCAGAUCCUUAACCCACUGAGCGAGGCCAGGGAUUGAACCUGCAUCCCCAAGCAUCCUAGUCGGGUUUGUUAACUGUGGAGCCAUGAAGGGAAUUCACAAGAAAUGUUUUUAACAAGGUUCCAGAAAAGAAAAAACAAAGGGCAGAGAACACAGAGCAGAAAGAGGCCACAGGCUGGGUACUGAGCCCUCACCAGGGACGGCAGGAAUUUCCCGAGAGGCCACACACAUGUUGUGGGAAGACCACUUACAUGUAGUUAACGUCUCUGCUUCCCGCUUCUACCAAAACCCAGCAGCUAAAAUGAAGCACCCUGGCAAACCAGAGGGGAGGCUUCAGUCCCCGACCCCACCCCCAGCGGGGCACUCACUUCACACCUGUGUUUGGCCCCGGGAUGGGCCACACCAGCAUCUGCUCCACCUCACUGCCUGUUAAGGACUGGCUGGGAAGAGAUCUGCUCACGCAUUUAGUAACAAGCUUCAUGAUUUAAACAUUUCAAAAAACCCAGAGGUCUCAUUUGGGGUUCCAGUCCAUCACCUAACUCUGGGGAGGACACUUAACAUCUCUGGAGCUGCUGUGAGGAUUAACUCACACAGCACGUGGAAAGUAGGGAGCCUAGCACCUGGCACUCAGUAAACACCUCCCACAUGUCAGCUAUCAAUGACUCACGCUCUCCCUCUGUCUCCUCACCUCGCUGGGCAGAACAAAACCUUAAGUUCACUGUCCCUCCAGUCAUCAACAAGCAUCUUUUCCCUAGGGAGCAAGGACCCUAUGAGGUUUCUGCAACAGUCUCCUGGAUUUUCUAACCUCCACACACAGGCCUUGCUCCUUGGAUCGACUAAAGGAAGCUGGGAUAGAUUUGGCUGUUAGGCUCCAAUACAGAAAACAGAAAGGUUCUCUUCCCCAAAAGCUGCAUGGGGCUCAGAGAGUGGAGAACACACUUUAACCAGAGGUGAAGAGAGGUGUGGCACCAGCAAUCUGUAAGCCAGGGAGGUGAGCAUUCGGGGGAGGCUGAGCAGAUGGAGAGAUGCUGGUGGUAUCCUUCAGAGGCUGGGCAAUGCAGGACGGCCGCACCAGAGGGCCUGGGCCGACUGGACAACUGUCAUUACUGCACUUACUUCCUCCAGCCUUGAUAACUCAGACCCCAUGGCUCAACAGCCGGGAGCACAAUGAUUCCUUUGUGCAACUCCACUAGCCUUCCUGCGCCCCGGCUCUCCUCCUCACCUACAGACUAGGACAAGGCAACCUGACCUAGGCUCUCGGCUAGUCCCUGACAUGGCCUCAACUGAAAAGGAUUAAAUUUUCAGGGAGCUUGGGGGUAAAAGGAGAAGGUUAGAAGGAUUAUGGAAUGAAAAAAUAAUGUAAACAUCAAAAACUUAAGUGUCUUUUUUUUGGAACACCUUCAGAAAACAAGAGUAACACCUCGCUACGUAAAUGCUUAACUACAGAAAAUAUUAGAACAUAAAGAUGAUAUUUAAUAAAAUUAAUUUCAUUAUUUUAGGGUCUAAAUAAUUACAUAUAUGUACGUAACAUUGUAAGACAACUAGGACACAGCCCUAUAGGUGGGAAACUCCAGCUAAUUUACAGGCAUGCAUUUCUCCAAGGGCAAAGUCAGAGGCAUAGAGUCACCAACAAUGAGAAUAUGAGGAAUUCUAUAUUCAAAGGCCACAGGACAUUUUUUAAAAAGAUGACUUUCCCAAGUUAUUUUAAACUUUUUGCAUAUGUUCAUUUUAGCCGUCAAGGGUAAUUCAGCUUGAAAUUUCACAUUCAGUCAUAGCAUCUUAGGUUUAAACUAUCUUAUAAUGAGCAGAAUCUAAUUUUGUAGCUUGAUAAGGAAAAUACGAAUUCCAUGAACUUCUAAAAUACUGCCACUAAAGACCAUCUGC
rnacentral:lncRNA from 1 species